ACCCGAGUAUAGGUAAUUAGACGGCACUUAUUGAUAAAGGGGAGAGUAUCCCAGAAACGCAUUGAAGACAUUAUCUAUCUGAGCUGGAGAAACAUCUAAAAGGAUCGGGACGCCACUUCACGCUGAAUAUACCGAGACUGCAGCCGGUACUAGUAACAAUAAGGGGUUUGCACAAAUAUGUUUUGGAAAAAGAGGGGGACCUGGACUGCACAUCCUAUUGCUAAAGAUAUUAAGAGGUGCUAUCAUGCUUAGAGUGUAUAGUUUCCGGAAUAAGGAUGUGAAGGAAGCACUGACAAGAGUGCUUAGAAACAAAAUGCACACUCAUCAGAAGAGAAAGUUUAAAUGGAAAAAGUGACACUGGCCAGAACAGAAAAACAGAGGUGUCACAGUGGAUCCCAGAGUUCUAUGUCUGUUCAAGAUGAUGUUGGAAGUUAUCAUGUUGUUGUUUAAUAGGAAAUGUUUAGAAAAUUAACAUCAAAAUAACAAAGUGAAAAUAAAAAGUUGUG